rnacentral:misc_RNA from 1 species
CCUGAAAGAACCUGCCUUUGUAGUGUCCACACAGAUUGUCUGAUGAAAAAUAAGCAGUAAAAAAUCUCUGCAGGCUUGUAGCUCAGGUGGUUAGAGCGCACCCCUGAUAAGGGUGAGGUCGGUGGUUCAAGUCCACUCAGGCCUACCAAAUUCAUCCUGAAUACUGCGUUGUGAAACGACUCGCAUACUUCAGUAUGCUUCGUCCUUCCCCGCCUUGUCUCAGUCUGAAUUACCGGUACAAGAGAUUUAGCAUUACGAUGGGGUUAUAGCUCAGCUGGGAGAGCGCCUGCCUUGCACGCAGGAGGUCUGCGGUUCGAUCCCGCAUAGCUCCACCAUCCUUUACUGCUGCACAACAAGAAAACUUCAGAGUGUACCUGAAAAGGUAUGCUGCGAAGUUUUGCUCUUUAAAAAUCUGGAUCAAGCUGAAAAUUGAAACGACACACUGUUUCCUUUCUCCGUAAUAAGAGAGGAAAAAGCGGUGUGUUCGAGUCUCUCAAAUUUUCGCAACGCGGACUGUUUUACGAAACAGUUUCGGGUUGUGA